AAGAAGAAUGAGAGCGGUGGUCCAAAGUACAACUGAUGAAGACGGAGUAAGGUGUGUAAACGAAGAAGAGCUGAAAAAAGGGAGGCUGAUGGAGACCGAAUCAGGGUCCCUGCCUUUACAAUUUAGCCUCGCUGUCAUCCAGGCUGGUGAUUCAUGAAGUACGGGAUCCCAUCUGUUUUCCCUGGGAAGUUCUCCUCUCCAGGCUUAGAGAUUGUCCUUCUCGAUACUCCCACUGACUCUGUUUCUCUCUAAUUUGGAGUUGGCAGAAAGAGAGGAAAACUGGAGUGUUGGGGGACUGGAAUAGAGAAGGUAUUAAGGUAAAGAGGGACAGUUGAUGAAGUGUUAUCACACAAGGUUGAGGACCAUGAGGCACGAGGGAGAAACUGACCUGGUAACAUGGAAGGAGUUAAAAACACGUUGCUUGUGUGUUGACCGACCAACAGGAAAUGUUCUUGCAAUAACAGAUAGGCUACUCUUUCCAAAUAAUGGUCCGUAAUCGGAAGGAUUAAGUCCAAAACUGAAGCUCAGGAUGGAUCUGUACCGGCUGUGACCCAAACUUAAACUUGGGAGCUGUAAGUUUUGCCAUUUUCAUGUCGUCUUUGUGUUUGUUUGCCUGGUGAAGUUAACGUUAGCAUGUUGCGUGGCUAAAGCAGCUAGCUUUGAUUGUCGGUCCACAGGCUGAAGAAAUAUUGUCGUUUUGUAGAGCAACAUUGAAAGUUCGUUAAAUAACAACAGUUAAAUGUUCUGUGUAAUCAAUUUGUUCCUUCAUACUUGAUAAAACUAAUUUGUUUUUUAUUUUCUAGCUAGUUUUACACACCAUCUGUUGGCGUAACUCCAUAUUUAAGAUGUUGUUGUAGUAAACUAACUUUUCCUCCUGUCAUACUGUAAUAACCUGUAUGAAUUAAUGUCGCACAUAAUCUGCCAAUGUUUUACAGGUCAUCUGAGUGAGUCUCAGUAUCCACAGAUUUAUAAUGGCUGGGCCACACUGCCGACCUGAUGGAGGACAUGAGCCUACACCAAGUCUACACCCAAGUUAUGGUUUUGUUACUUUUGGCCUUUUGUAUAUAUUUAUGGAUUUAAUUUAUGGAUUCAGUGCUUUAUUUUUUAGGCGCUUUUUUGUUGUUUUAAGAUUUAGAAGUAAAGAUCCUAUGUAUGAGUGUUUUCUUCGCAAAUAUUCAUUAUUAUAUGACCUGUUUUGUUUUUAGAGAAAAGUCUAUUUCCCCCAAGUUUAAUUGAGUUUUAUUUCCCUCUUUAGUCUUGGAUUUACUUGUGGAUUUCCAUAAUACCAGAUGGGACAAUUACCACAGCCAGCCUUAAUAAUCUUCCAGUUUUGUCACUUUUCCUCAGUUAAUCCCCAUCAGCUGACGUCAGAGUAAUUAAAACUCUAACCGAGCUUGGCCUGUGCUUGUGGAUGAUUAUAGCAAUGUGUUACGUCAACAUAAACCACUGACAGUGGCACAACAAGGGAGCUGACUCACUUACUUUCCCUUUCACACUGUAAAUUGAUUUAGUUUCUUACAUUUCCGCUGCCUUCAAAUGCCAGACCUAUUAUUGUGUUAAACAAGCUGACUGUUGUUGAAAAUGGCACUUAUGAAGAAGACAUAAAUUAAGAGUAUUAUUUUAAUGUGAAAGGUUGUUCAACUGUUUUUAUCCGUAUCUUUCAUACAUAUAUUAUUUGAAUUGAAAAACUGUGUUUUUUAUUUAUUUUGAUAGAAGGCAUUCUUUGUUUUAUUUGUAUACUAAUACAAUGAUUCAACAUAAAAGAUAUGAGUGAUUUAUGCUUCCUGUCCAAACAGAGACCUCAGUGUGGGAAUUAUUUGCAGAUAGUCCUCCUUGACUUCACAGGAAAGAUGACCUGAUACUGUCCAAUUGGCCUCCUUACAGAAUCCCACGGCUCCAAUUAAAGCCUUAUGAUUGGGCUUAAGAGUGCUGCGAGCUUAACUGACUACAGCACACAGUAUCUCUCUUAUGAAGGGUGAUUUGUCAAAAGUCUCUUCAGCAACUUGCUUCUACAGUACAUUUUGUUUACCAACAAUUACAAUGAAGAAUAAAACUUCGAAACCAAAGAUAAUUUCCCUGUUCUUUUACAAUAUGUUUAUCUUAACCUCAGUGAAUGUACAGGAAGUCUCUUAACUGCCGUAAUGGACACAUUUGAUUACUUUUUCAAUAUAUUACAAAAUGGUAACAGUUGGUUUAAGUCCUGUUUGGUUUUGUUGACACUCGUGGCUACUGGUGGUAACAUUAAGUCCAGUGUAACACUACAGCACCACACAUCUGGAGGCUGAAAACACUCCUUUAGUAGCGACUUUAUUCAAAGGAAUACGCCACCCCACAAAAUGGCCAUUUGUAUCUCAGUUACACACGUGUUACCUUGAAAGAAAACUUUCAUUUAUUUGUCCUUGUAGCCUCCAUUAUGUAUGUUGUUCUAUUACUUUGGAAUAUUUAAAACGGAUCCACAUUCAAAAGUUGAAAAUGCCCAUGUCUUUUUUCAUUGCCACAUUUUAAAUGCUAACUUCGGUGACCACUUUAUUUUUUUAUUUUUUGUAACUUCUUCCCGAUAAAAGCCACCAUGCAUUUCACCAGUUGAAAGAUUUUAAUGUGAUCCAACAGCAGAGUAUGAGGGGUUUGAUUUUAAUACAAAUCCUGAGCAUUCUAACUUUAAGCAAGAUUAACCAUUUAAUUGUCAUUUUGCACACACAGAAAAGGAAAGUCGUCUGAUGUUGCCGUAAAAAGCAUGAACAACCGUCUACAAAUCUUUCUGUGGUUCUUAUACUAUCGAGAAGGGAGUUCGAUUUUCUUUGUUGGUUGCCCUUUUGCUUCCGUUCAGCACACAGUUUGUAUUUCACCCUUCAGUUCACCAAAACCUGAUUCUCAUUUGGGCAUAUAGUUCAUUUACAGCACGUCAUGUUGUAUUUGUUUGUCUGAUAGAAUUGCUGUUUCUUUCAUGAAACAUACCACUUGGCAUUGCACCGACAAGCAGAUUUCAACUAAUUGAAAAAGAUGAUUGCCCUUGGCCUAAAGACAAACAACAGAGAAGCUGCAAAAUACUUUAAUGUUCUCUUUAUUAAUGAAUUGACCGUGGAAUCCCAUGUGCUGUCUGCACUAAUUUACAAUGUGUUUCAUCAGAAAGCUGGCUGGACUCACUGGUCACUGGGCAGCUGGCCAGAUAUUACAAGCUCUUUAGUCUGGCUUGUUUGGCAGGAGACAAACGCGCCUCUAGUCCAGGAAUCAUAACGGUCAGUAUGGAGAAACUUUUUUUUUAAUCUGUUGUGCUUUGCUGCUUAUAGAUCACUUAGUAAAUAUUAGUUUGAUGUCUAUAUGGACAUAACAGAUGCAACAGUGUUGUUUAUGAUGGCAAGAUACAUGUUACCAGUGAUGUAGCUUUCUGUUAUAGCUCCUCGUUUAAGGUGUGAACACACUGCAACAUUUCUGGUUUACCUUCAGUAUGAUGGCAGUUCAAGUAGAGCACUAUGCAUUGGUUUAAUUAAACAAAGGAUCAGGAGAGCUGGCAGACAUCUUGUAGUGUGAAGGCUGUCGUACAUUGUUGACGCAGUGAUUAUUUGACAAAAAUAUGAUACAAUUGCAAUAUGAUGGUGAUGUCACCAAUCAUGUGAUUGCGUGUCGUGUAUACUGAUAAAUGAUGUGCUUUUCUAAUAAUGUAAUUGUUGAUCAUUGAGUGGGUAAUGUUCUCUAUUCACAUUAUGUCUCCUCUUGUACUAAAAUGUGCAUUCACGGUAUAAAGAAACUGUGUGACAUGCCUAUCUCUGCGGUGGACUUCCCCUUGCUGAAACAAUAUGUAAUGUUGUUAAGGUCAUUUGGAUUCUACUCAUCCCAGCUUCACUCCAGUAUUCCAGCUAUUCAACUGGUUAAUCAGACAUUGAAUGAAGUCCAUCACAAUGCCGUCUCAACAGCCAUGUCUCUUCACUCGCUCACAAGGGGCUUGAUUGUUAACAGUAGAGCCCAAGCACCAAGCAUUACACAAAAACAAUUAGCGACACAUUGCUAAAGGUGUAUUGAAGCCUGAAAGAGAUUUUAAUUAAUGCUGGGAACAGAUUUGUUCAACCUUGAGUUCCUCUACCAAUUUAAGUAGCUCUCCAUUGGAUAGGCUUUUGGGUUAGAUUGUGCUGUUCUUGUACAUUUCUUGGUUGUUUUCCACUGAUAAUGUAAGGGCCAACCUCUCUCAUAGUCCACAAUGUAACAUCUACUGCUCAUAAUAUAAUAUUAUCAUUAUGUUGUGGAUGUAAUUGGGGAAUCCAUUAAUACAUUAUAUAAAUGGGUCAAUCAUAUUGAUUUUCAAUGUACGCAACUGGCUGCAAAACUCCAAUCCAGUGUUGUGAAUAUUUUACUUUUAUGUCAACUGUUUUAGUAAUACUUAAUUAUCCCACUGUGAUGACAAUUAUCUAAUUAUAUGGUCAAACAAUUCACUAUUUCUAGUUAUCGUAGUGCACAUGGAUUCACUUCAAAAUGUCCAUCACACAUAAUUUUAACUCUUCUUUGUUCGUUGCCCUUUAGACACUUAAUCUCCAGCUGUGCCAGAGGAAUCCCUCAGCGGUUAAAAACACCAAACUGCAUUUGUAUUUGGCUGCUCUCCUCUGUGUUGAUGUGUAACCUGCUUUCACCCCUGCUGGAGCCAGAUGAACAAUCUGUCUUUGACCAGGUUAAAAAGAUUUAAGAUAUUAGACGAUGAAAAAGAAUCUUCUUGACUUUGGAAAGUUGGCAUCAUUGUAUUGGACAAUUAGGGCAAAUAGAUAGUCAUAGGACUCUUCCUUUGAUUUGUCUGUUUAUAAUGUGGGAUGGCGGAGUGGUAUUUUCUGUUUGACACAGGAUCUCCAGUGAAUAAACAAAUCUUGUGACCA